rnacentral:rRNA from 65 species
GUUGACCUCGGAUCAGGUAGGGAUACCCGCUGAACUUAAGCAUAUCAA